AUUGAACGCUGGCGUAAGGCCUAACACAUGCAAGUCGAACGAGUGGCGGACGGGUGAGUAAUGUCUGGGAAACUGCCCGAUGGAGGGGGAUAACUACUGGAAACGGUGGCUAAUACCGCAUACCAUCGGAUGUGCCCAGAUGGGAUUCGCUAGUAGGUGGGGUAACGGCUCACCUAGGCGACGAUCCCUAGCUGUUCUGAGAGGAUGACCAACGACUCUGGAACUGAGACACGGUCCAGACGCCUCCGGGAGGCAGCAGUGGGGAAUAUUGCACAAUGGGCGCAAGCCUGAUGCAGCCAUGCCGCGUGUAUGAAGAAGGCCUUCGGGUUGUAAAGUACUUUCAGCGAGGAUGCGUUUCUCGCAGAAGAAGCACCGGCUAACUACGUGCCAGCAGCAGCGGUAAUGC
rnacentral:rRNA from 1 species